GAGUUAAAGGGUGGAGUUUAGGAUUUAGAGUUUAGGGUUUAGGGUUUAGGGUUUAGAGUUUAGGGUUUAUUGUUUAGGGUUUAGGGUUUAUAGUUUAGGGUUUAUAGUUUAGGGUUUAGGGUUUAUGGUUUAGAGUUUAGGGUUUAGGGUUUAGGGUUUGGGGUUUAGAGUUGACAAAUGAGGUUUUGAGGAUAAGAUUUCUAAUUUUGAAAAAUAAAAAAAUUAAAAUUUUGAAAAGGUAAAAUGCUAUUUUGGUCAUUUUAGUUUUUGUGUGCUAUUUUUGUGAUAUAAACUUAGAAAUGUGCUAUUUUGGAUAUUUGCCCAAUUUGAAACUAGUGUUUUAGAUUAUAAUGUUCAUUUCUUUUGCAUAUUGGCUCUGAUUUUCUAUGCACACUUGGAACAAGUGAUCCGAAUUUGUAAUACAAAAUCCACACAUAUUACAUACUCAAGUUUCCAGCAAAAUAAUGGACUAUAGCACAAUGUUGUUAAGGUCAUUCAGCUGAUACAGGUGGAGCAGUAUUUACAUUUUUAAUUGUUAAUAAACCAAAAUCAAGUCAUGGUUUAAACUUCAAUAUUUCAGAAUGAAUUAUAAAAUGUGACUUCUGUUAUAAAAAGAAUUGGAAUUUUAUUGUAUCGCGGAAAUUUGAAUAAAAGCAAAAUUUAUAUCCGUAGAAUUUUAACACUGAUAGAAAGAGAUUAUUAUAGAGAGAAGAGAAGGUUGAGGGAUGCUCUUCUAAACGAUCGAAAUUGAUCGUUUAUAUAGAGAAGAAAUUCAAUGUGCAAAUAGUGCAGCGGGCCCCACAUCUUUAUAUUUUCAACAAUUGCGAUGGCUGCUGCUUUUUUCUUUGACUUUCGUAACACUCCCCCUUGGGGGCCGGUGUCACUAUCCGCUCUCGCUUAACGUCUUUGUUACCUCGUUAAAAACCUUUCCAGGAAAACCCAAUGGGAAAAACCAUAGUAAGGUAAAAAGAGUACAACUACGUAAGCUCCCCCUCGAAUGAACAGUCAUAGAUCCUUCUGAUGACGCAUCCCAAUGUUAUGGAUGUGUUUUCUGAAUACCGAGGUAGGGAGUGAUUUUGUGAAGAGGUCGGCUGCAUUGUCGCAUGAUCGAACAUAUCUUACUUCAAUCUCUUUAUUCUUCUCGAGCUCUUGAGUGUAUGAGAAGAACUUCGGAGGUAUAUGUUUGGUUCUAUCGCUUUUGAUAUAUCCUUCCUUCGUUUGAGCAACACAUGCCGCGUUAUCUUCAUAUAGAAUAGUUGGCUCCGUAUUUUCGUCAAUCCCACUGCUUGAACAGAUGUGUCGGCUUAUUGAUCUUAGCCAUACACAUUCUCUACUUGCUUCAUGGAGUGCAAUGAUCUCAGCGUGAUUUGAAGAAGUAGCAACAAGUGUCUGCUUCUGAGAACGCCAAGAUAUGGCGGUGCCUCCAAUUGUAAAAACAUAUCCUGUCUGGGAUCGAGCUUUGUGUGGAUCUGACAAAUAACCUGCAUCUGCAAAACCAAUCAUUUGACCUUUUGAACUUUUAGGAUAAAACAAGCCUAAAUCAGUUGUUCCUUGAAGGUAACGAAAGACAUGUUUAAUUCCAUUCCAAUGUCUUCGUGUAGGAGACGAACUGAAUCUCGCUAAAAGAUUAACAGCAAAGGAUAUGUCAGGUCGAGUACAAUUUGCAAGAUACAUAAGAGCUCCAAUUGCACUUAAGUAUGGAGUUUCAGGACCAAGUAUUUCUUCAUUUUCCUCAGAUGGUCGAAACGGAUCAUUUUCAACAUUAAGUGAUCUAACGACCAUCGGGGUGCUAAGAGGAGUUGCUUUAUCCAUGUUAAAGCGUUUCAAUACUCGUUUGGUAUAUGUAGACUGGUGUACAAAUAUACCCUUUCGAGAAUGCUCAAUUUGUAAUCCUAGACAAUAUUUUGUCUGCCCGAGAUCUUUCAUCUCAAAUUCUCCUUUCAGAUAGUUUGAUGCCUUUUGGAUUUCGUUUUGAGUUCCAAUAAUAUUAAGAUCAUCAACGUACACCGCGAUUAUCACAAAUCCGGAUGUUGUUUUCUUUAUGAAAACACAAGGGCAUAUAGGAUCAUUCGUGUAUCCUUCUUUUGUUAAGUGUUCGCUGAGACGAUUAUACCACAUUCGUCCAGAUUGUUUUAACCCAUAUAAUGAUCUUUGCAAUUUUAUUGCACAUAACUCUUUAGGUUUGGAACUUAACGUUUCUGGCAUUUUAAAUCCAUCUGGGAUUCUCAUAUAGAUAUCAGUAUCUAAUGAUCCAUAUAAAUAUGCCGUAACGACAUCCAUGAGACGCAUUUCUAAAUUUUCAUUGGCCGCUAGGCUCAUCAGGAAUCUAAAUGUGAUUGCGUCCAUGACAGGAGAAUAAGUUUCCUCAUAAUCAAUUCCUGGCCUUUGAGAGAAACCUUGGGCUACGAGACGAGCUUUGUAUCUUGUAAUCUCGUUUUUCUCAUUUCUUUUUCGGACAAACACCCAUUUGUACCCAACUGGUUUUACAUCUUUGGGUGUGAGCACAAUAGGUCCGAAUACAUUUCGUUUGUUAAGCGAAUCUAAUUCGACUUGAAUUGCAUCUUUCCAUUUUAUCCAGUCAUGUCUCUUUUGACAUUCAUAUACAGACUUUGGUUCUGGAUCUUCGUUUUCUUCAUUUAUUUCCUUUGCUAAAAGGUAUGAGAAAACGUCAUCAAUAUCAUCCAUCUCAUUUCGUUUCCAUAUCUUUCCAUUAUGGAUGUAAUUGAUAGAAAUCUCAUGAUUUCCUUCAGAUUCAAGAUGCUUUAUAUUGUCAUUAGAUUCACAAUUUUCUUCGUCCAAAAUAUUUUCUGUUAUUUUGGGAGUAUCAUGCUUUUCACAUUCCUUACGUUUUCUAGGAAGUUUAUCCUUUGAACCAAUAGGUCUACCGCGCUUUAAACGUGUUCCUGAUUCACGUGUAUCAACUGCCGUUCCACCAUUUUGUGGUAUUUCAAUACGAGCAGGAGUAUUUGCAGCGGGUAUAUGUGAUUUAGUUACCAUUUUGGUAUCAGCAAAUGCAUCAGGUAGCUGAUUUGCUAUAUUUUGUAAAUGCAUGAUACGUCGAACUUCUAGUUCUGACUGUUUCGUAGGAGGAUCAAGGUGUAAUAACGAUGGUACACUCCAUUUGAUCUCUUUUCCUACUUGUUUAUUGUCUCCCCCUAGAGUUGGGAAUUCUUUCUCAUUGAAAUGACAAUCGGCAAAUCGUGCCGUAAACACAUCACCAGUUUGUGGUUCUAGGUAUCUUAUUAUUGAUGGAGAAUCAUAGCCAAUAUAUAUUCCCAACCGUCUUUGCGGUCCCAUCUUUGUACGUUGCGGUGGUGCUAUUGGAAUAUAAACCGCACAACCAAAGAUUUUUAGAUGAGAGAUAUUUGGUUCUUUUCCAAAUGCUAACUGUAAUGGGGAAUAUCUAUGGUAUGCACUUGGUCUUAUCCGAAUUAGUGCUUCUGCAUGCAAAAUAGCAUGUCCCCAUACAGAGGUUGGGAGUUUUGAUCUCAUGAUCAAUGGCCUUGCAAUUAGUUGCAGCCGUUUAAUUAAUGAUUCUGCCAAACCAUUUUGUGUAUGAACAUGAGCAACAGAAUGCUCUACUUCAAUCCCUGAUACCAUACAAUAAUCAUUAAAAGCUUGGGAUGUGAAUUCACCAGCGUUAUCUAAUCUAACUCUUUUAAUUGGAUAAUCUGAGAACUGUGCUCUUAAUUUGAUUAUCUGAGUUAGAAAUCUCGCAAAUGCCAUAUUUCGAGAUGAUAACAAACAAACAUGUGACCAUCUACUCGAUGCAUCGAUUAAUACCAUAAAGUAGUAGAAUGGUCCACACGGUGGAUGUAUUGGUCCACAAAUAUCACCUUGGAUUCUUUCCAAAAACUUUGGUGAUUCUUUGUCAAUUUUGGUUGGUGAUGGCCUUAUGAUUAAUUUCCCAAGAGCACACGCAUCACAUGUCAUUUUAUUACUUUGGUAUAUAUCUUGGGUUUUUAUUGAAUGACCAUGUGAGCUUUCAAUGAUUUUUCGCAUCAUUGUAGUGCCUGGGUGACCAAGACGAUCAUGCCAUAAUGCAACAUCUUCUGGAUUUCUCUUGAUCACCUGUGAUUCUAUAGCAUCAAUAUAAGUGUGAUGCAAUCCAGAAGGAAGUUCUGGAAAUUUUUCCAGUACAAGGCUUUUGCCUGAUUUUUCAGAAGUUAUAUACAAAUACUUCUUUCCAUUCUCAGUUGCAGACUGAGUGUUAUACCCUUGACGGUAUAUAUCUUUGAAACUCAACAAAUUUCUCUUAGAAUUUGGAGAAUAUAAGGCAUUAUCUAUGGAAAACUUUGUUCCAUUAGGCAACAUAAAGUUCGCCUUGCCAAUUCCUUCGAUCAGGUCUGUAGGACCUGAUAUUGUGUUUAUAGUCAUUUUUACUGACUUUAAAGUAGAGAAAUAUCUCUUAUCCUUCAGUAUAGUGUGCGUUGUGCCACUAUCUGGUAUGCAAACUUCUCUACCAAUUUGUUUAGUUGUUGUUCCAUUUGCUUUCUUAUCCAUUUCUGUAACACACAGUUAAUAUCAAUAAAGAAAAUAAACUUUCAUAAGUAAACAUAUUAUGCAUCAAUAACAAGUACACAAUAAUUAUACAUUAGAUAUUUUGAAAUACAACAUUAUUUUGAAAGUGAAAUACAUAAUAUUUUAUGGCAUCACUAGGCAUUAUUAAGCUUGAUCAGAACAAGCACUUCAAUUAUUUUGAUGAGUGGCCUCGUCGAAAUCUCCCAUAAAGUCAGAGGAUUCGAGGUAUGUCGAUGUUGUACCCACAAGGUGUUCAUUGAGAUUUACUUCCUUUGCCUUGCCUUUAAUAGAUUCUUGGUACAAUUGGCAUAGAUGCCGAGGAGUUCGACAUACUUGAGACCAGUGUCCCUUCGAUCCACAUCUGUAACAGACGUUCUCAUUUUUAUGAGUAGGGUUUUCUUGGGUUUCUUUCCCUUUUACCCGAUCAGAUCGAUUCCAUGUGUUGGAUCCCCUUCCUCUUGGGUUGUUACUCCUUUCAUGGUUGCGGUUAAAUCGAUAACCACGACCACGACCAAAACCACGAUUGUGACCACGGCCACGACCACGCCCACGAUAGGAAUAAUUUCCUUUUUCCGGAUUUUUUAUAUCCGUUGCAUUUACCUCAGGAAAUGCUUUGGUUCCCGUGGGUCGGGCAUUGUGGUUUUUAAUGAGGAGUUCAUUAUUUCUCUCCGCUAUUAUAAGCGCCACAGCGAGUUCAGAGAACCUCGUAUACCCACAAUUUCUAUAUUGUUCUUGUAGAACAUAAUGAUUUUUGUGGAACGUUUGGUAAGUUUUCUCGAGCAUUUCUGCUUCCGAGACAGGCUUACCGCAAUAAUCUAAUUGCGCCGCUAUUCUCAAUAUAGCGGAAUUGUACGUUUCCACUUUUUCAAAAUCUUGAAAUCGUAGAUUUUUCCACUCAUCAAGCGCAUGGGGGAGAGUAAUUUUUCUUUGGUUAUCAAACCUCUCCUUCAGAGCUUUCCAAAGAUCUAAGGGAUCUUUGGUUCUCGCAUAAUCAUGCGUAAGAUUUUCAUCUAGAUGCCUUCUCAGAAAUAUCACGGCCUUAGCCUUUUCAUGAGAGGUUGAUAUAUUGCCGUCUUUUAUUGUUCCGAGUAUUUCCUCGGAAUCUAGAUGAAGCUCCAUGUUUGUAACCCAUGCCGUGUAGUUUGUCCCAGUUACUUCCAAUGCCGGAAACUGAAGUUUCUCGAUUUUUGCCAUUUGUAUUUCUAAAGCACAUAAAUAAAAAUUAUUAGAAUAUUAUUCAUAUUAAAAGGAACCGUUUACAUUAAUCAUGCAAGCAAUUACAAGGAGAAGCGAUGUAAAGAAAAUUAAACCGAUAUUCAUCUUAAAUUCACUCGGAGUAAAUUCUCCAACGAAUAAACCAUAAAUAGAAACACAAAUAAAAAUGGCACAUAAAAACAAAAGUGCGCGAAUCAUCUUUCUUGAAAUGAAAAAUCGGAGGAGAGCGAUUUGAAAUUUUUGAGAGAAGAUGAAAUGUUUUGGAUGAUGAAAUGGAGUGAAAAUGAGUUGUAUUUAUAGAUGAAAAUCACUGUUCAUGACCGUUGGAGAAAAGGGAAAUUUUUGAAAAAAAUUUUUUGUAUUUCGAAUCGCAGAGUGAUCGUGCUGAUAACGUGUUAUAAAAAGAAUUGGAAUUUUAUUGUAUCACGGGAAUUUGAAUAAGAGCAAAAUUUAUACCCGUAGAAUUUUAACACUGAUAGAAAGAGAUUAUUAUAGAGAGAAGAGAAGGUUGAGGGAUGCUCUUCUAAACGAUCGAAAUCGAUCGUUUAUAUAGAGAAGAAAUUCACUGUGCAAAUAGUGCAGCGAGCCCCACAUCUUUAUAUUUUCAACAAUUGCGGUGGCAGCUGCUUUUUUUCUUUUACUUUCGUAACAACUAGAGAACCUCGUAUACCCACAAUUUCUAUAUUGUUCUUGUAAAACAUAAUGAUUUUUGUGGAACGUUUGGUAAGUUUUCUAGAGCAUUUUCACGGAUUACAGUAUUAGAUUACUUGGGGAAACGGAAUCAAAUCAAAAAGGUAUGAGCUUUGGGAAAGGAAAUCAAAAUCUGGGUACUUAGGACGGAAGAAACAGAGAGAGAGAGAGAGAAUGAACCUCAACGACGUUGAGCUUGAAGCAAAUGCAGAUCCUUUCCUCCACGUUUUUCAGGAGAGUGGAAGAAGAUACAGCAAUUGUUAAAGAAUUCAAGAAGUCGUUAAGGGACGAGGUUGAAGCAUGAACACGUGAAAGUUUCAAGCUUUGACGCGCCUUUGAGCCUCCGUUUGAUGAUGAUGAUCCUCUUUACCGGACUUUUUUAUUUGGGCUUUUUGCAUUAGCCCAAAUUUAUAAGGCCUUUAUUACGAGGCCCAUUUAUUCCUCUUUUCAAACAAACAAAAAAAUGUGUGAAGAGAAAAAAAUGAGAUCAUUUGUAUAAGCUAAAUAAUUGAGCAAUUAGUGGACCCAACUCGUGAACUAGUGGAAAGCGAAACAUAUGACAAAAGUGGUCACCUUUUGUGUGGUUUUAUAUAUUAGAUUUGAGGUAUUGGCAAAAGCAAACUCAGGAACUGAUUUACCAAGCCUUUAGUGGAAUUAACACACGUUUUACUUAUAUUAUGAACAAAUAUAAGUAUGAUGAGAUUGGAUAUUUAGAUUCUUCAAUUAUUAUAUUUUCUUUUAAAAUUUAGUAAAAAUGAAAUGAUGAAUAUAAAUAUGUAUUUGGAAUAUUUUUUAUAUAUUUUUUUAUUGUAGUUAUAAUAAUAAAAUUUUAAAAAUGAUUUUAUUCUGAAUUGAAGUUUGAUGGAGAAAUUGAGUGAUAUUGGAGAUGUUACAUAAAGAUACAGAAUGGCCUAAAGUGAUUAUACCCCACCAACCAAUUAUUGCUUAGAAUUAUAUAUUAUGCCAAAAGAAAUUUAAAUUAUAUAGGGAUUAAGACAUUCUACCACCACUUGGUGCCUCAAAGAAUAUCUUAAAUGACUAUUCCUCACUUCCCACUCCAUGUCUCCAUCUUGUUCCAAUUUGUUUUUAACAAAUUUGAAACUGGUGUUUUAGACUAUAAUGUUCAAUUCAUUUGCAUAUUGUCUCUGAGUUUCUUUGCACACUCGGAACAAGUGAUCUGAAUUUGUAAUACAAAAUCCACACAUAUUACAUACUCAAGUUUCCAGCAAAAUAAUGGACUGUAGCAUAAUGUUGUUAAGGUCAUUCAGCUGAUACAGAUGGAGCAGCAUUUUCAUUUUUAAUUGUUAAUAAACCAAAAUCAAGUCAUGGUUUAAACUUCAAUAUUUCAGAAUGAAUUAUAAAAUGCUUGUUAUUUUCAGCUUCAUGUGAGCUUAUUGGUCAACCAGGAAUACAACAUACCACUUGGGAUUAAAAAUUGGGUGAAUGAAACGUAUGUAUAAUCUCAAGAUAAAAAAAAAAAAGCAUCUGAUGAGCUCAUUCUCUACAAUGAUGAUAGCAUUAUAUUAUAAUUAUCUUAGUUUUGAGGCAAAGACUUAGAGACUAGAAGACAAACAAAAGUGGACCAGAUAUGUGUGGUUUAGAUUAUUAUAGAUAAUGGCUCCCAUCGAUACAACUUAAGGGAUGAUGAUGCUACUUUUGUCUUUCCUUUUGGAAGUUUAAUGUAUCCAUCACUAUGAUUCAUUUCCCCAUUUAUACUCUUAUUAUUCGUUUCUCUAUCGCAUAAUCCAUAUUACUUAGAAACUAACAACAUAUCUAUUCAUAAGCAGCAUUUUAAUGAUUAGGUUAAUAUACUUUGAAAUAUACGCAAAGAAUCAUUCGUGUUAACUCUUUUUGAUCAAGUAGUAUACGUAAGUAAAUAUAAAAGUGAAGUUGACAUUUACAAACGCCCCACCCAGCUUCCUUGUUUUAUUAGAGAACUCCAAUAUCUUGCGAAAGAAGUUGAGUUGAAUUUUUUUCGGGUCGAAAAGUUGAGUUCAAUUUGUUAACGAGGUGUUAUUUACCAAUUACAAACGUAAGGUACAUCUCCUCUUUAUGUAUACACAUACAUAAAUAACCUUCAAUAAUUGUAAUGAAAGAAAUAAAUACCAACAGAAAAUUUCAUAAAAAAAAAUAAUACCAACAGAAAAUAAAUUAUAUACAUACAUAUGCUUCACCAUAAUACUCGCAUUUAUUGGAAAUCAAUGCUUACCAUUGACCACAUAUUUUUCUUCAUAAAUAAUUUUUGUAUGAACCGAUUAAGAAAAUUCCCUAAAAAAAACAGUGAAGUUAUAAUUAUAGAGUUCAUCAUCAAAAUUAAUUGUUAUAGUUAUAUAGUUCAUCAUCAAAAUUAAUUAAGUUAAGUACGGAUGAUUAAGAAAAGGCUAAAAUGGUAUGACAUCAUCACAGUUAAUGCAGGAAAAUAAAAGGCUUGUGAGAAGCCGCACAACCAAUUGGCUCCAACGUGGGAGAUUAACAAACGGUUUCAAUUAGUACGUGACUGACACGUGAGUAAGCAGCGUGUGGUAUAAGAAAGGCUGUCCCCAAGAGAGGCGGAGACCAAUCAAGGAAAGACAACAGUACACAUCACCACUCUUCCUUGAUGCCCAUUCGUUAGCCUCCCUAGCCAAAUCUUAUUCCUUUAAUCUCUUGUUCUGUAGCUUCCUGAUUUGGAUAAAACUUCAUCUCUUCUUUCCCUUUGAAGAAACGAAGUUUCUAUAACUUUUUGCGUAUUUUUCCCAGAGAAAGUUAUAAUCUUUCAACUUCUGAGCUCACAUUUGGUGAUUCUCAGGGGGGGGGGGGGGUCUUUUCUCGAAAGUCUUGAGCUUUUUUUUUAUUUUUAUUUUUACUUAAAGCAGGAGUUACACAACAAAAAGUAGAAGACUUUAUCAUCUUGUCAGGUCCGUUUCUAUUCAUCUGUCCUUUGGUAAUAAUAACUGCUUUCUGUUUUGUGUCUCUGAUAGUCUUCUUUCUUCAAACUCUUUCCUUCUGCAUUCUGAAUCUAGCUCUUCGUUUCUCUCCCUUCUGUGUAUUUUCUCAGACCUGAUUUGCUUCCUCUGUGCAAGUUUCAUGCUUCGUCGGUGCCUCGUGUUGCAUUACUUGAAUUGGUAAAUCAACCACAUUUAAGUGUUGUUCAUUUCUAAAUUUGUAAAUCUGGUUAGUCUCAUUCUGGGGUGUUUAGGUUUAAACACAAAACACAAAACACAAGUCAUGUCCCUUUGGUUACUCCAAUCCCACAGUUUUUGUCAGAGUAAAUAAAAAAGGCAAUCCAAGUGCAACAUCGGAUAUUAGACAGAAUAAAGUCUAAUAUAUAUAGUUGGUCCAAUUUCACUUAGUACGAGGCUUUUUGCGAGUAACGACCCAAAAACAAAACGGACAAUAUCAUACUAAGCGAGGGAUUGGACAUCUGGUGACGGACAUCUGCUCUAGUAGAGCAUCUGGCCCAUGAGUGCAUCUCGUCCGUCACAACAGUUUUAGACUAGUUCAUGAAAAACAUGUAAACUUGUUGGAUUUAGUUUGGAUUUGUCUAUAUAGUCAACGAUGGAACAUUAGAUGAUUCUGUAUGCCUUGCUCUGGAAGUUAACUAUACAAACUGACUCAAUCCUUGUGUCACUAACAUUGUUUAUCUUGAUUAGUGUAAGAAACCCAUUUUGAUCCAAGGAAUCAUGAACAGUCAUAGGCUUGUGUCAACGGCACAAGAGGAAUGCAACAAAGGAAUUCAAAAAGCUUGCUCGUCCUCUCUCUCUCCGGCCUACAACUUUCUGAAUGUCCAGCCAGAAACCACCAGAAAAUCUCCUUUCAUACGGUCACAACCUCCAGAUUGGCCAAAGAAUAGUACGUUUUCACGGUCUUCCACCUUCUGCACCAACCUCUACUCCUCAUCCUCUUCAGCCAAUGAGACUAAGAAACAUUUGGGAAACAGUCUUCCUUUCCUCCCUGAUCCCUCUGCUUCUGCUUCUGGUGUGGAGUCUGCAAGAUCUCCAUCUGUCUUCAGCGAGGAUUUGGGCAAUCCGUUUGAUGGAGACAACAACUCCUCGCUUGUCAAAGAUUUCUUUAAUCUCUCCGCGGAAGCUUGUUCCAAUGGAGGUUAUCAUGAUCUGGACUGUUCCAACGACAGCUUAUCAGAUCAACUGGAGCUGCAGUUCCUGUCUGAUGAACUUGAGCUGGCCAUCACAGACCGAGCUGAAACUCCAAGGCUUGAUGUAAGUUAUUUUUAGUCUGUGUCCAUCUCUUAUGAGUUUGCUAUUAUGAUAACACUUCUCCUAAAUGACUUGUUGAUACAUAUAGAGAGUGUGUGACGAGUGAUUUUUUUUUUUCCUUUUAACAUUUAGCUUUUGGUUGAAUCAGGAGAUCUAUGAAAACCCAUUGGCUUCGCCAAUUCCAGUGACUGUACUGAGUCCAAGCCAAAGAUGCGAUGCUGGAGCAAUGUCCAUUGACCCAGUUUCACCUCACCCUUCUCCACGAUCAGCAGCAGCAGCCAAUCAAAAGCCGAGAAUGAGAUGGACCCCUGAGCUCCACGAGAGUUUUUUGAACUCGGUGAACAAACUUGAAGGGCCUGAAAGUGAGUUUUAGGCUUUUUUUCUUUUUAACCUUCUGCUGAUAACACUUAACCCUGGUGUUGCUUCAAAACAUGUAGAGGCCACACCAAAGGCUGUUCUGAAGCUUAUGAAUGUUGAGGGCUUGACGAUCUACCAUGUAAAAAGCCACUUGCAGGUACUAAAAUUAGUUUGCCUCUCACUUAUUUCACAAGUACAUAAUACAAAAGUAGCUGAAUAUCUCUGAAAAUUGCAGAAGUAUAGACUAGCAAAGUAUAUGCCAGAGAAAAAAGAAGGUAAAAGCUUCCAACUUGUUAUUGUGAUUAUUACACAGAUUCUAUGUUCCUUCUUGUGUAUUAACUUUUGUUUAUUCCGCAGCGAAAAAGAAUGUUAAUUCAGAGGAGAAGAAACUCGCUUUGAGCAACAGUGAAGCUGAUGAGAAGAAGAAAGGGUAAGGCAUUGUGUUUCUUGCUUGGUUUCUGAAUCCCCAAACAUGUGAUCUUUAAAGUGACUCUCUUCUUCCAUGGACAGGGCAAUACAAUUAACUGAAGCUCUCCGUAUGCAGAUGGAAGUUCAAAAGCAACUGCAUGAACAACUCGAGGUAACACCUAUUACACUUUAGUCCAGCAAAAGAAAGAUUCAAGAUUUGUUGCCAUAACCAAUCUCGUGAAUUGAUCAACUUGCAGGUGCAACGUGUGCUUCAGCUACGAAUAGAAGAGCAUGCUAAAUACUUGGAAAAGAUGCUUGAAGAACAACGCAAAGCCGGAAGGCUAUUUUCUUCUUCUUCUUCUUCUCAGACUUUGUUAUCACCUAGUGAUGACGAGACUAGACCAGACUCUCAAAACAUGUCCAAGACCGAAGCAUCUCUGCCUCAGCCUUCAUCAUCUGCAAAGCACAUAGCUUCUGAAACCGAAGACGAUCAAUGUGAGUCCCCUCAGAAACGUCGCAGGCUUGAGAACAGUACUGAACCUCAAGAUUCUGAGAGGUAGCAGGCUUCUUCAAGUAUGUGUAUAUAUGGUCUGCUUUUUGCGUUGUUUGGUAGAGAGGAUGUUGGUGGUGGUCACUCAAAAGUAGAUGUUUGUAAUGUAGAUCUUUGUCGGACGCGUGUAAACUUAUUUAAGUAUCUUUGAGGUUGUUCCCUUCGAUUUGCUUGCUGAUUCCAUGUCGUUUAAGGAUUCUUUCAGUUAAAUACAUGAUAGUCCCUCCGUUUCAGUUUAAAUGUUGUUGUAGAGUAAAAUUUUUGUUUCAAAAUAAGUGUCGGUUUAUAAUUUCAAUGCAAAAUUUAUUGGCUUUUUAUUCCAGUCUAUUUUUCUAUUGGUCAAAAUCUGGUUAGGUGUAUUGGUAAUGAUGUUUUUAUUUUGAAAAUAUAUAAAAUCAAAUGUUUUGUUAAUUUGUGUGCGUAAGUCCAAAACGACAAUUAAAAUGAAACGGAUGGAGUAAUAUUUUGGAACCAUGGACCCCCUUUCAGUUAAAUUAGUGACAAAACAUAUCUAGCUGAAAGAAGCGCUCUAAGUAUGGUUUGCAUCAAAAAUUAUAAACUCAAUACCAUAAUUUGAAUAAAUUUAAAAUUCUUUUUAAGAGAAAACAAGGAGACAGGACCUUCGCUUUCACUCCCCCGAGAACUAAUAAGGGUUUCGUUUCUCUUCCGGAUUUUGUUGUCGUCUCCUGUUCUCCGACUCAACGCUUCGACUCAGCUUUGACUCAACCAUUCACUCAGCUCAGGUAAAUCUCUCAUUGCGCUUCCAAGCAGUAUACAACACAAUGGGGUUUGUGUUCUUAAGUUGUCUGUUAGAAAAAGGUGCUUGCUUUGAGCUUCUUUGUCACACUGGAUGCAUGUUUGAAGUUGAAAAAGGAUCGAUUUUUCUUCACUGUAACGUUUAAAGUUUCGUUUUUUUUUUUGCUUCUUAUCUCUGUUUAUCCAUGAACAUUGAAACGGUCUCAGUCAUUAUGAGAUCAAGUUAGGGAAGCUGCAAUGUGAGAAUCAAGAAAAUGCUUCUAAGUCUUUUUUAUUUUAUUUUUGUAGUCUUUUGAAUGGACGAUACCUUAAUGGAGAUUCGGGAGCAUGGAGUUACUGUGGACAAGAAGAAACAAGAGAAAAAAGUAAAAAUAGCGAUAAAUCAAGUUUUUGUUCCCAAACUAGCACUCAAGGUCAAAAGUCACAAAAAUAACACUUAAUGUUUUAUCAAAAGUCACCAACUUAAGGUUUAGAGUUAAAGGGGUGGGGUUUAGGAUUUAGGGUUUAGGGUUUAGAGUUUAGAGUUUAGGGUUUAGGGUUUAGAGUUUAGGGUUUAGAGUUUAGGGUUUAGGGUUUAGAGUUUAGAGUUUAGGGUUUAGGGUUUAGGGUUUAGGGUUGAGAAAUGAGGUUUUGGGGAUAAGAUUUCAAA
rnacentral:lncRNA from 1 species